CAGCCGUAAACUAUGCUCGCUAGGUGUCAGGGACGGUGCGACCGUUUCUGGUGCCGCAGGGAAGCCGUGAAGCGAGCCACCUGGGAAGUACGGUCGCAAGGCUGAAACUUAAAGGAUUGGCGGGGGAGCACUACAACGGGUGGAGCCUGCGGUUUAAUUGGACUCAACGCUGGAAACUCACCGGGGGCGACAGCAAUAUGAAGGCCAAGCUGAAGACUUUGCCGGAUUAGCUGAGAGGAGGUGCAUGGCGUAGUCGUGU
rnacentral:rRNA from 1 species